UACGUAGGGGGCAAGCGUUGUCCGGAUUUAUUGGGCGUAAAGAGCGUGUAGGCGGCUUUACAGGUCCGUUGUGAAAACUCGAGGCUCAACCUCGAGACGCCGGUGGAAACCGUAAAGCUAGAGUCCGGAAGAGGAGAGUGGAAUUCCUGGUGUAGCGGUGAAAUGCGUAGAGAUCAUGAGGAAGACCAGUGGCGAAGGCGGGUCUCUGGACAGUUCCUGACACUGAGGCACGAAGGCCAGGGGAGCAAACGGG
rnacentral:rRNA from 1 species